GACGAACGCUGGCGGCGUGCCUAAUACAUGCAAGUAGAACGCUGAAGGAGGAGCUUGCUUCUCCGGAUGAGUUGCGAACGGGUGAGUAACGCGUAGGUAACCUGCCUGGUAGCGGGGGAUAACUAUUGGAAACGAUAGCUAAUACCGCAUAAGAGUAGAUGUUGCAUGACAUUUGCUUAAAAGGUGCAAUUGCAUCACUACCAGAUGGACCUGCGUUGUAUUAGCUAGUUGGUGGGGUAACGGCCCACCAAGGCGACGAUACAUAGCCGACCUGAGAGGGUGAUCGGCCACACUGGGACUGAGACACGGCCCAGACUCCUACGGGAGGCAGCAGUAGGGAAUCUUCGGCAAUGGACGGAAGUCUGACCGAGCAACGCCGCGUGAGUGAAGAAGGUUUUCGGAUCGUAAAGCUCUGUUGUAAGAGAAGAACGAGUGUGAGAGUGGAAAGUUCACA
rnacentral:rRNA from 1 species